UUCCCUGUUGGUACCCUUGUGAGUGUUCAUUUUUAAUUAAAGUAUCAUUGAACUGUUCCCACAGAGACACUACUGUUUUGUUAGCAGUCUGUUAGAAAAUUUAAAUAUCAUGAUGUUCAGUACAUAUUCAGUGAAUUGUGAAAAUGCCUUUAAUAUUGCAGUAUGGUAUUUUGGCCUUAUGCCAUAGUGCUGUUGAAUUGUUGAUUCUGAUUGGUCAGAGGAUAUUGAUUAAUUUUCUAUAACAGCAGCUCUGACAGUAGUGCAGGCUACAAGAAGAAUCACAGGUUUAAAUGAAUGCACUCGUUCGAAUAUGGCUUUGUUUUUAUAAUAACAUUUUACACAGGGACUUGUAUAAGGUUAAACAAUGUGUGUAAUUGUUGAUAUGGUGAAGUUUUCUGUAAGGAGACAUUUAUUUAGUACUUUAUCAGUGCUUUGUAGAAGUCAGACAUAAUGUUGUAACUAAGUUUUCCAUCAUGGGAAUGUCUUUAGGAGAAAGAGCUUUGUGGUUUGACAAACUGCAUUUUUUUUUUCCUCAUUUUAUUUUUUUAACUUGGAGAGUAGAGAAGAGAAGCUGAUGAGCUUGUGUUGCGCGUGUUGUUUUAUUCCUUACAUACUGCCUAAUUCUCAUGAAAUGUCCAAAAGUAUGGCUCCACUAAAACAAAAUUGAUCACUGAUCUCAACUAUUGAACCUUGUUUUAGAAAUCUUGUGCAAAAUUGUAUUCAUUUUUCACCGCUGAAGAAAUACUCUAUGAUCCUGGAUCUCGCUGUGAACAAAUACCAUGCGCUGUUUUAAACCUUGAAGGUGGGUUUCAGGUUCAAAUCUGACACUCUUUAGAGUUAUCUCAAGGUCAUGCAGGCAGUGCUCUAUAUUAAUCCAGCACAAUCUCCUGUGACCUGUGUGCCUCCAGCACACUUAAUAUACAGUCACACAUUUGUUUACAAAACAUCCUCCACUGAGUCGUCUCUCCCACUCAUGAUGAACUUGUGUUAACACAUCUGUGUCUUGCAUGUAGUUGCAUAUCCAUCGCAGCCUUGCGACAGCUUCCAGAUCCAGCCAUGAGAAUGAUUUCUAUGCGUUCUUCUUUUGUCAAAGGACAAAUCUGAAAAUAAAACAUCAAAACACAAUGUAUAUUAAGUAUGAAAAAUUUUGCCAAAAAGUCUUAAUUUCCCCUAUGUAUGGAGACUUUUGGGACAUCCUGUAGUUGUACGCAAACAUAGCAUUUGGAAGCCAUUCAUAACUGAGGAAAAAAAAGCUCUCUGAUUGGCCACCAUUUCCUAAAACCAUUUGUUUAAUGCAUAACUGUACUCAAAAUAAUAGCGUCAGGAUAAUGGGAUGAUUAUGGUUUUGACUUGCCCUUGAAAGGUUCUAGCUGAUUUAUAGGAUGGAUCUGGCAGUGUUUUCUUUCCAGUCUGCUUGCAGAUCCUGAUGUCGGCGACAUGCUGUUUUGGGGUUUUUUUCUUUUCAUUAAAAGGCUGAGGGUGACUGGAAUGCUUUGCCCAUGUUUGGACAAGAUGCAUCGAUCACUAAAGAGCAGUCUGGUUUCAGUUACGACUUAGGCACAAGCACGAGUUUGCCUCUCUCUGGAUGAAACCAUAGCACCAAGGUCACAUCAGCCAGUGAAGCCUAGCUUGCGGCAAGUGAGUGAGGGAGGGUAUUUCAGUACCCCGGCCUAUUAAUAGAUUGAUCUACUGGAUUGAUUUUUAGUGUGUGCUUGUUUGUGGUGUAGGGGGUAGAGGUGGGGGUGUUCAGGAAGUGUGUAGAAAACCAAGUGCUCGGUCUAGAGAGAGCCUGACCCCUCCCAUUAUUAAAUACCGCCGGAAAGCUCAUCCAUGAAACCAUUCGUAUUCGGUCAUGUCCGUGGUUUUCAUGCAAACCUUUCCUGACAAUUUGCUGAGCUGCUGAGAGUUGCCAUCAUGUUGGAAGUGGUCUGAAAUUCCAACACAGAGGCUUUUAUCCAAAGUGACGUGCACUUAAGUGGAACAGAUGAAGGUCUUGUUCAAGGACCCAGCAGUGGCAGCUUGGCAGUGCCGGAAGCUUGAGUAGGAAGGAGGAAUGUGCAGAUAAAUUGUUCAUAGGAUGCACCACAACAUUUUCACAGACACUUCAGAAAUAUCAGUACUCUACAUUCCAUUUAGGAUGCUUCUACUUCGAAAGGCAGCAUUUUCACUCAGAAUUGUGUUCUCACAGGAUAAACACUUCCCAUCCCUAAGUCAUCAUAUAACAGCUGUCGUCUAAGGACCUGUAUCCCGUAGUGCUGUUGAAUUCUCAAAUCGGAUGGGAACGGUUUGUAAUAAUUUAGGAGCCCUCUAUCAGCUUCUUUCAAGAUGAAUCACAACUGCAGUGAAAUCAAACAAGCCUUCUGCUUCCUCCAAACCACAGCCU